ACGGAAGGCAGCAGUGGGGAAUAUUGCACAAUGGGGGAAACCCUGAUGCAGCAACGCCGCGUGAGUGAAGAAGUAUUUCGGUAUGUAAAGCUCUAUCAGCAGGGAAGAUAAUGACGGUACCUGACUAAGAAGCACCGGCUAAAUACGUGCCAGCAGCCGCGGUAAUACGUAUGGUGCAAGCGUUAUCCGGAUUUACUGGGUGUAAAGGGUGCGUAGGUGGCAUGGUAAGUCAGAUGUGAAAUACCGGGGCUCAACCCCGGGGCUGCAUUUGAAACUGCCAGGCUGGAGUACAGGAGAGGCAAGCGGAAUUCCUAGUGUAGCGGUGAAAUGCGUAGAUAUUAGGAGGAACACCGGUGGCGAAGGCGGUUUACUGGACGACAACUGGCGCUGAGACACGAAAGCGUGGGGAGCAAACAGGAUUAGAUACCCUGGUA
rnacentral:rRNA from 1 species